rnacentral:lncRNA from 1 species
UGUGGGCCCCCUAGGGUUGAGUGGGUGGUUGGUUGAAUAGUAUGAUCUAACGGGUGAAAAUGAUCAAAAGGGUAGAUCUAACGGCAGAAAACUUGGUAGCACCAAGUGCUUCGUGCUAUUAAUAGCAUAGUAGCCGGACUAUAUAUAUAUAUAUAUAUAUAUAUAUAUAUAUAUAUAUAUAUAUAGAGAGAGAGAGAGAGAGAGAGACUCCGGCUGGGAUACUAUCAAUAGCACGAGGCAUUUGGUGCUAUCAAGUUUUCUGCCGUUAGAUUUACCUUUUUUAUUAAUUUUUGACCGUUCGAUUAUACUAUUCAACUAACCACCCACUCAACCCUAGCGGGCCCACAUCAUCCUAACCACACAUCUUUUAAUUCGAGGGUAGAAAACUUAAUAGCACCAAGUCAUUGGUCCUAUUAAUAGUAUUCGAGCCUAGUUCUCUC